CAGGUUUGCCCAGGACUGCCCUGGUCUUAAAAGUGGAGUCCCUCCCACAUCCCAGGAGACUCACUGGGUUUGGUCACCCCAGAGCGGGAGAGAGAGGAAGAGGACAGAAAAGCAGGGAAGGAGGCUUUCUCCAGAGGCGGGCAGACAAGGGGAAGGGCAGAAGUGACUUCCAUGGGUGCUGGCUAGAUGGGGAAACUCACUGAGAUGGACACUGGUGGCUGAUGAACUUUUCUGUUCUAUUUGUACCUUGCACUUCAAUGAAGAGUGUUAGAUGAAUAAGGAAGUAAGUUUUCACCUGGCAGAGUCAGCCAUCCCUGAGGUUGGAGAGUUUCUCUCCCGUGUAACAGGAGUGGCAACUCUUGAACCCAGGUCUUACUGACCCCAGAGAGUCAGCCACUGCUCCCUGUUGCCUUCCUGGGCCAGAGACUCUCACGGGGCUGUCUGCACUAAAGUGUUCUUUCUAUCCCCUGGCGCCCUGAGCAUCAAAGAAGCUUUACUCACUACGUGGGGACCCCUCGCCUUGGAUCACAAAGAGUCUCGACCUUCCUGGACAUCAGCUCAGACCAGAUGAUGUUAAAAAGCUUCGUUGCCGUUGCUGUCUGAUUGAUUACCAGCCAGAUACUCCCUGAACCCAUGCCCAGCCACCCACGCCUCCCUAAUUUCAAGGUCUGAAGGCCAGAUGGACUCAAGCAAGCCAUUUGCCUUUCUGAAAUCUCAGCUGCCUCAUCUGAGCAAGUGAGAUAAGCCGGCUUAUCUUGCCGCUGUGAAGCUGUCUGCAAGGCAAGGUGCCUAAUAAACGUCAGCCAUUACUCACGGGAAUCAAAGCAAAUGCUUAGCGAGCCUUCCUUUGUGCCAGGCACUGUUCUGAGCGCUCUAUGCAUAUGAAUUUGUUUAAUCCUCGCCACCACCUGGGAAGCAGAUACCAUUAUUAUUCCCAUUUUACAGGGGAGGAAACUGAGACAUAGAAAGGCAAAGUCAUUCAGAAUUAAGGUCACACAGUUCGUAGAAGACGGCUGAACACAAGAGGCCUGGUUCCAGACUCCAUGCCCUUAGCCAGUAAUUAUUAUUUCUGCUAAAAUAAUUGCAAUCACUAUUAUUAUGCUGACAGGUUUAGGGGCUUGCUCUGACCAGA
rnacentral:lncRNA from 1 species